rnacentral:rRNA from 1 species
AGCGUAGGCGGAGGAAUAAGUUAGAAGUUUAAUGUACGGGCUUAACCCGUAAUCUGCUUCUAAUACUGUUUUUCUUGAGUAUGGGAGAGGGAGAUGGAAUUCCAGGUGUAGCGGUGGAAUGCGUAGAUAUCUGGAAGAACACCAGCUGCGAAGGCGGUCUCCUGGCCCAAUACUGACGCUGAGGCUCGAAAGCCAGGGGAGCAAACAGGAUUAGAUACCCUGGUAGUCCUAGCUGUAAACGAUGGACACUAGAUGCUGGAGGAGUCAAUCCUUUCGGUGUCGUAGCUAACGCGUUAAGUGUCCCGCCUGGGGAGUACGCUCGCAAGGGUGAA